AGGUAUAUAUUCAUAUCAGUUACACUGACGUGUUUACGUCAUUCGUUCCCAGGUUUUAUACGUCUUCCUCCUGCACCAAAACGUUGAAGAAGGCAAAGCUCACGUGACCUCAGUGGCGCAUUUUAUCCUAACGCAACCUCUGCUCAGUUUUGUCAUAUCUGAAGCGAAGAUGUUCAAGGCAUCAGUGAGGGAUAGUAUGGAUCAAAAUGGCGAUAGAGAGGGACACGAGCAGGAUGAUGGGGGGCAUGAAGACGGCGAAGAAGACAAGAUUCCAACCAUUAGGAUCAAACUUCAUUGUAUUAACCCAAA